UCCGGGGUAGCUCAGCGGUAGAGCGGGUGGCUGUUAACCACUAGGUCGCUGGUUCGAAUCCAGUCCCCGGAGCCA
rnacentral:tRNA from 3 species